UAUGGGUGGCAGGAGGGGGGAAUAUUCCCCAAAGGGCGAAAGCCAGAUGCAGCGACGCCGCCUGAGGGAUGACGGCCUUCGGGUUGUAAACUCUUUCCCCAGGGAUCAAGCGAUAGUGACGUAGUGCAGAGAGGGCGCAAC
rnacentral:rRNA from 1 species